GUCUUGACCCACAGGUUGAGAACCGCUGCUCUACACCCUCGCUGUGCAUAGAGCAGGGCCUUGGUUAUGCCUUCCCACUUCCCAGUGUGGGCAGGGAAUGAGGCCUCCUACUGCCCUCGGGUUAGCUGCCCUGCAGUGGGGCAGAGGCCUCGCGCCCUGGGGAUGGGUUCCCACUCCACCAUGGCCACCGUGAGCCAAGCCUUUAGUCACUGCAACAGUGCAGGCAAGAGUCCGAAAUGGUGCCCGCUCCCUCGAGUUUCUUUCGUCACCUGAUGGAACAGCAGGGGAGGGCAGGUGACAGGCAAGGGGUGGGGAGAAUUGUCUCCCUGCGCAGAAGCCCUAAACUAAAGCUUUUAUCUCUUUAAGGGAGGGAGGGAGGGCGGGAGAGGGAGGAGGAAUUGCGGGAACAGGAAAAGUGCUGAGCCACAGGGAAGGAAAGUGGUGAGGUGGCCUGUGCGAGCUUCUGGACUGGGAAUGCAGACCAGAUGAGAUGGGCAUGAGCGCAGCUGCCAGGGGCCCGGGUUCUUGUUCGUGCCCCAGGUUCCUGGCGCAGCCUGGUGGCAAAGCCUUCUGAUUGCCUAUGGUCGGCUCAGCAGGAUCCCAGGAUCCAGGAUGUAGGUCGGAGCUGGACUCCUGAUAUACAUUUGUUGGCUAUGCCUUUAAUUAAAACCAAAAGAAAAAACUUUAUUCAUUUCACUCUGUGGCACACAGCAUCGCUGGCUCCCAGCGCCACUCUGGUACACGCUACAAAAGGUUUGCUUGCUUAUGCCGAGUGAUUGUAUUUUCCCUCCAGCCACCCAUGGGACACGGUCAUCAAGGCUGCUAUGAGGAAGUACCCGAAUCCGAUGAAUCCCUGUGUGGUGGGAGUCGAUGUGCUGGAGCGCAGUGUGGACCGCUGCGGCCGGCUUCACAGCCACCGCCUCCUCAGCACCGAGUGGGGGCUGCCUGCCCUCGUGAAAGCGAUUUUGGGAACCAGUAGGACUUUAACAUACAUCAGAGAACAUUCUGUUGUGGAUCCAGUGGAAAAGAAAAUGGAACUUUGUUCCACCAAUAUCACACUCACAAACUUUGUGUCGGUGAACGAGAGGUUGGUGUACACACCCCAUCCGAAGAACCCUGACAUGACGGUGCUCACACAGGAAGCCAUCAUCACCGUGAAGGGGAUCAGCCUUGGUAGCUACCUGGAAGGCUUAAUGGCCAACACAAUAUCAUCCAACGCAAAGAAGGCUUGCAGCUGCCGCUGCAGGAGGCAGAGCUCUUACACCAUGUUGAAACCCUUCUGUGUUGCUCCAGGGGUGGGCUGCUAUUGAGUGGAUAAUUGAAAAUCCUGAAAGCGCUGUGAGCUAACGGGGCCUGCACCUGCGCCUCAUGAACAAUGCCCAAAAAAUCAAAGAGGAAAUAAAGAAAGGAAGAAAGAAGCAAGUCCUGAAUACGAUUCAAGGGCCCAGUCUGGGAGAGGUGUGGAAUCUGCUGGAAUCCGCCUCCUGCCUGCUCGCAGCCUCCUCCAGGCUCCUCCGUGGUGACCCCAGGACAGGAAGCUCGGCCAAGGUGCAGAAGGAGCUCCUCUGUUGCAGAGUGAGACCCAGAGGAAGACGACCUCUCACAGGAGGAGGACAGGGGCCACGAAGCUGCCACUUCGUCAUCCUGAUUGCCGAGCAGGGUCCUGGGAGCCGGCCCUGCCCACAGCCUAGCCGCCCCCAUGCCAGCGUUUAGUCAGACUGUUCUUGUGCCUUUGUCUAUUUUCUCCUUAGCAACAGCUCCCGGCUCUUUCUUGCCAGUUCUUGGGAAAGCACUAAAUAGCUUUUCUCUUUUCAGAUUGCUGCCCGUUUCCCUCCCCUGCCUCUUAAAUAACAGUCUUCACCACCAGUCCCUUUACACAUAGCUGGUUACCAUCUGCCGUUUCAGAUGGUGUUGCCAUGGACCCCUCUCUUCCCCUCAUCACUGCGCAAAUCUGCACACGCUAGAGCAGGGGCGUCCCCCCCGCCCCCAACGGUGACAUGUGUGGUUGACAGGACCGUGAGCUCUCCAAUCAGAGGCAGAACUGGUCAGGAGAGCAAAGCUCUGUCCUGGGCCUGCACCUCGUCUGUCCUGCCAUCUGGGACCAGUGACCCCAAGUGCUGAAGGCCAGGGUCCCUUCUCCGCAUUCAGACCUGUCCUCAUGGAGAGCCACUGCUAUCCUGUUAGCUUGACGGCGCUUCCCAAAUUGGGAGUUUUCAUUUUCCCGUUUUCAAAAGUAAAAUCUCUUUCAAUAUCUUUCAAAUUAUAAAACCUUUAGAGAAGGCCUCCUCCAUAAAGGAUGGGUAGAACCUGUGUUUCACUGUUUUAUUAGGUAUUGCUUUUUGUUUGAUAAUAGUACUUCCAAUCCAACAUGAAAUUACUCAUUUUUAUUUUAUUAGACUAUUUUAUGCAUAAAGCUUAAGGCAAAAUAGAGUUUUUAUGUCAAAAACAAACACUCUUACCCCUUUUGCACUGCAAGGUUUGCCCCUUCUGAGAGGACUCUGAACUCUUGGCUAUUUCUGCCAUUUACUGUUAGAUUUCUAAAUAAAUAGGCAUAUUCUGCUUUUUUCUU